CUGCAUGCGGAUUGCUGUUUACACAGUCACUGCAUCGUAUGCGGAUCCGUUUCUUUUGCAACCGUUGAGAUCGUUGUAUAUAUAUACAUAGGCAUACGCACACACAUACACACAUAGGGCACUGCACAUUCACCACACAGCUACUACCUGGCUGCGAUCACGACUGCGUGCACUGCUUCCUGCGUUCCCCGCGUCUGCUAGCUGUGCGCCUAUUGUUCCUGGAGGAUCCUCGUUUGCUGCUACUGAGCUCGGUGCUGGAAGGAAAUGCAGCAGAGAGGAUCCUGACGGCGAACGACGGGUUCGGGUUGGCUUCGCAUUGAUGGACAGAGACGGUGGUCUGAGGCUGCAGAAGUGAGCUUGACAAGGGGAGUCUCGGUGCUGGAGCUUAAGGUGUGCAAAGCGUUGAGGAGGGGAUGACCAGUGCUGCAGACGGGAAGAAGAAGGCAGUCGGCUAGCAGGAUGCAGCUUUUACUUCUUAGUGGCGGGGUGAGCAGGACGUGGGUGUUCUUGUACAAGAGACUGCAACGAAGUUUUGCCGUGUAGUGUCUUUUGAUUACAGUUUUCCCUCGGUGGUGCGCUGCCG